rnacentral:rRNA from 1 species
GAUGAACGCUAGCGGCGGGCCUAAUACAUGCAAGUCGGACGGGAUUGAGUAGCUUGCUAUUCAUGAGAGUGGCGCACGGGUGCGUAACACGUAUGUAACCUACCCUUCACAGGGGGAUAGCCUCCCGAAAGAAAGAUUAAGACCGCAUAACAUUUUAAUGUGGCAUCACAAAACAAUCAAAUAUUUAUAGGAAAAGGAUGGGCAUGCGGAACAUUAGCUAGUUGGUAAGGUAACGGCUUACCAAGGCUACGAUGUUUAGGGGAUCUGAGAGGAUGACCCCCCACACUGGUACUGAGACACGGACCAGACUCCUACGGGAGGCAGCAGUAAGGAAUAUUGGUCAAUGGGCGGAAGCCUGAACCAGCCAUGCCGCGUGCAGGAAGACGGCCCUAUGGGUUGUAAACUGCUUUUGCAGGGGAAUAAACCUCGAUACGUGUAUCGAGCUGAAUGUACUCUGAGAAUAAGGAUCGGCUAACUCCGUGCCAGCCGCCGCGGUAAGAC